CUCAUCAUCAUCAUGUUCCCUCCCAUUUAUUUUUUUUCUGUAUCUUAUCUUCUAAAACUCCCACAUACAAGAACCAUAUCUUCAUAUCUUUCAAAUAUACACACACAUAUCUGCCUGCUUCUUUCUCGAUAGCUACCUGCAACACAAAGAGACUCCAUCCUCAAACUUUUACACCCCAGCUGACACCUACAACACCUGCAACCCCACCCUCUUCCUUCGAUCUGUGUAAACGACCACCACCACCACUGUCUGGUGGUGGCGAGACGACGAAACGGAGAAGAUCAAAAGAGUCGACGAGAGAGAGAGGGGGGUAAUCGGCUGUAGUUCGACGGCGUACAGCGGCGGUGGAGCCGUCUACAGCAGCGACGGUGGAGGGGUUUUAUUUCAUUCCAUUAGGGUCACCAGUUCAAGUCAGAUUUACGCUCAACAACGGAUUCAGAUAAGUUUUGGUUCAACAUUUCGGGUUCUGUUCGGUUCAAUGUCGGAGUAGAAUGGGUUUCGAUUCAAGAUGUGAACUCGGUUCAGUCAUGGCAUGGUUCAGAUUCAAGGCUCGGGUCUCGACAUCAGUUGGUUCAAGCUUCAGUUGGUUUUUUCCGGUUCGGGUUCGUCUGAGUUCAGUUUUGCUUCGGUUUCGACUAUCAUCGGCUCAGGUGGUUUAGUGCUUGUUUGGUUUCGGGUCUCGGUCAAAACGGGUCAGUGGUGGUGCUUGGCCCGGGUUUUAGCUUGGUUCACGUCGGGUCACGGUUCAAGUACGAGUAAUUCGGGUUUCGGGUCAGCCACGGUUCGAGCUUGGCUCGGGGGUUAUGGGUCAGACUCAACUUCGGUUUGGUUUGGUUUGGUUUGGUUCGAGAUGAUUCAAGGUCAGGUUGCUCGGUUCAGUCAGUUCGGAUCAGACCCGGUCAGCUGGUCAGGCACGGUCAAAGCAGGUCAACGAACAGAUUCGAGUCAUGCCGGUCAGCUGAGGUCAAACUCAGUCAACGCGAGCUCGGUAAACUUUUAACAACGUAAAUUUUAUUAAGUUAUUUAUAUUGUUUGUACAUGUUAUCUAGUUUAAAACCGAGUUCAAUAAGAUACACUUAUUGAUUUGUUAUGUUUUGACACAUCGAUGGAAAUGUUAUAUAUAUUUUGAUAUUUCGUUGAUUAUUGUUGCAUUUUGACCAAUAUAAGCGACAACUGAGUUGUCAGGAUCCUCCACAAACAGAUUUUCGGUGAAAAUACAUAUGAAUAUAUGUAUACAUUUUUAUAACCGAAACACCAUAAAAAAUGUAUCGGAACUCUAAUGAAGUUUAUAAAGUAAAUAUAAACGAAUAUAUUAUUUUAUGUCGACACUUUUAUAACUUCCAACGCUCUAAUUCUUUACUUAUGCGAGAACGAGACUCGUGUCCUUCAAGAACUGAAAGGUUACCUCGGUGUCCCAUCCUUCAACUCUUCAACUCUCCACGAGACAUGGAAUGCGUUGCGAAACUGAUUCUGAUGAUGCAAGGAAUCUAGUAGGAUUGCCUAGAAACGCAUUAAACUUUAAUACUUGUUGUAUCGUAUUGUAUUUUCAAACAUGUUGUAUUUUGUUUUCAAACCUUGUACUAAACCGUUAUUAUUGAAAUGAAAUUUUAUUUCUUU